AAAGUGAGUGCAAUAAAAGGCAUAAUAGAGGCAAUUUAGAAUAUUGGAAGAGAGGGUGAGAGAGGUGAGAGAAUAAUAAGUAACUGUGGAGAAUGCAGGGUCUUUUGUCUUCAGGAAUAUUAUUAUUAUUGUAUAAAGCAAAUAGUUGAUCUAAUUUUGGAAGCAAGGGAUGUCCUCAACUUUCAGCUAAUUUGAGAAAAAAAUUAUUGGGAAGAAAUUGACGGCGAAGUGAAAGGGGAGGUUCCACACACUCUACUUGCAUGGCAUUAAUCGGGCUAGAUUUCAUGGCUCCUAAUAUUAUGCGUAAGCAUUUAGCCUGAAUUUUGUCCAGUUUAUUCAGACCUGCUUUAUUUCCUGGGAUCAAGAACAUAGUGCCGUAAUCCAUGUGGCUGCGAAUGAUUGCAUUGUACAAUAAUUUUUGGGUGAAGGGGUGAGCUCCCCACCAGACACCAGAUACAGAGCGCAGGAUAUUAAUGUUUUUCUCACAUUUCUGUGAGACAUAAUCAAACUGCUUUAUGCCUGAUAAUUUUUGAUCUAACCAAAUCCCUAGAAAUUUAACAUUGGUAACAACAGCAGUUGAUAGUGACAACCCAACAUGGGUUGUAUUAAAUAAUCAGCAAGAUAUUCAAGUGCACAAUUUAACUGAUUGGAUGAAUCCUGUAUGGACUUGUUGGAAGUAUACAGAACAAUAUCAUCUGCAUAUUGCAGCAUUUGGCAGAAGGGGGAUACAGAGCUAUUGAGGUCAUAUGUAUACAGAUUGUAGAGAAGGGGACUAAGGACUGAGUCUUGAGAAACUUUUGCAAGAGUAGAAGAGAGGGCAAUUGGUCUAUAGCUUGUGGCUUCAGAUGGAUUCUGACCAGGUUUAAGAAUUGGUUGGUUGGAAUUAUUACCUGAUUUUUCCAGGGUGGUGGGAUGACCCCAAAAUCACAAAGGUUAUUUAUAAUAUCUAGGUAAUAUUUCUUGGAUAUAGUUGAUGAGUUUUUGAUGAAAGAAUAGGGGAUUCUAUCAGCGCCAGGAGCAGAAUCUGCUAGACCGUCUAAAGCGAGAAGGAGUUCAGAAAAAGAGAAAGGAGACUCUAAACUAUGAGUAGAGGCUAGAGGGCUUGGAGGGGAUGGAAAAUAGUCCAUGUUUGGAACUGAAGGGGGGGACAAUCUAUCUGAAAAGUAUUCAAGCCAUAAAGAUGAAUCCACACUUAAAUCAUGCUCUUGAGCACAAAAUGAACCUCUAAAUUUUUUAAUUUGUUUCCAAACCAUUGAGGAUGAAGUGCUUGGAGACAAAUUUUUGGCAAAAGUUAAUCCAUCCUUGCUUUUUCUUUUUUUUAAAUAAAUAUGUAGCUUUAGCCGCAACUUUUUU